UACGUAGGGUGCAAGCGUUGUCCGGAAUUAUUGGGCGUAAAGGGCUCGUAGGCGGUCUGUCGCGUCGGGAGUGAAAACUCAGGGCUUAACCCUGAGCCUGCUUCCGAUACGGGCAGACUAGAGGUAUGCAGGGGAGAACGGAAUUCCUGGUGUAGCGGUGAAAUGCGCAGAUAUCAGGAGGAACACCGGUGGCGAAGGCGGUUCUCUGGGCAUUACCUGACGCUGAGGAGCGAAAGCAUGGGGAGCGAACAGG
rnacentral:rRNA from 1 species